GGCCCCAUCGUCUAGGGGUUAGGACACAAGCUUUUCAAGCUUGCGACCGGGGUUCAAUUCCCCGUGGGGCUACCA
rnacentral:tRNA from 4 species